AACAUGUCUUUUAGAUAAUAAUUUUAAGUCGGGUCUGCUCAAUGAUUUUUAAAUAGCUGCAGUAUUUUGACUGUACAAAGGUAGCAUAAUCAAUAGUUUCUUAAUUAGGAGCUGGAAUGAAUGAUUUGAUAAAGUAGGUUUUGUCUCAAAUUUAAUAAGAUUAUAAUUUUUUUUCUAGUAAAAAUACUAGAAUUAUUUUAAAAGACGAGAAGACCCUAUAGAUUUUUACAAUUUAAUUUUUAAUAAAUUAAAAUAUAAAUUAUUAUUAUGAUUUGAAUUGUUGGGUUGGGGAAAUUAUUAAAUUAAAUUAAUUUUAAUAUUUAUUUAACAGAAAUUAUUGGAUGAAUGAUUUUUUUUUGAAAGUUAAUAGAAUAAAUUACCUUAGGGAUAACAGCAUAAUUUUUUUGGAGAGAUCUUAUUGAUAAAAAAGUUUGUGACCUCGAUGUUGAAUUAAGAUAAAAUUUUAAUGGAGAAGUUAAAUAUUUUUGGUCUGUUCGACCAUUAAAAUCUUACGUGAU
rnacentral:rRNA from 1 species